UACAGAGGUCUCAAGCGUUGUUCGGAAUCACUGGGCGUAAAGGGUGUGUAGGCUGUGUGCUAAGUCAGAUGUGAAAGCCCGGGGCUCAACCUCGGAACUGCAUCCGAUACUGGCAUGCUAGAGAAUUGGAGAGGAGUCUAGAAUUCACGGUGUAGCAGUGAAAUGCGUAGAUAUCGUGAGGAAUACCAAGUGCGAAGGCAGGACUCUGGACAUUUUCUGACGCUGAGACACGAAGGCCAGGGGAGCAAACGGG
rnacentral:rRNA from 1 species